rnacentral:rRNA from 1 species
GACGAACGCUGGCGGCGUGCUUAACACAUGCAAGUCGAACGGAAAGGCCCGGCUUUUGUGGGGUGCUCCAGUGGCGAACGGGUGAGAAAUGCGUGAGUAACCUGCCCUUGACUUUGGGAUCUCGUCAGGAAACUGGGGCUAAUACCGCUUAGGAGCUCCUGCUGCACGGUGGGGGUUGGGAGGUUUCGGCGGUUGGGGAUGUACUCGGGGCUUAUCAGCUUGUCGGUGGGCUAGUGGCUUACGUAGGCGUUGACGGGUGGCCGGCCUGAGAGGGGGGCCGGCCACAUGGGGACGGAGCUACGGCCCAGCCUCCUACGGGAGGCAGUAGCGGGGAGCAUUGCACACUGGGCGGAAGCCUGAGGCAGGCACGCCGGGUGAGGGAUGACGGCCUUCGGGCUGUAAACCGCUUGCGCCCGUGACGAAGCGUGAGUGACGGUAGUGGGAAAAGAAGCACCGGCUAACUACGUG